rnacentral:rRNA from 1 species
AGUGAACGCUGGCGGUAGGCCUAACACAUGCAAGUCGAACGGCAGCACAGUAAGAGCUUGCUCUUACGGGUGGCGAGUGGCGGACGGGUGAGGAAUACAUCGGAAUCUACUUUUUCGUGGGGGAUAACGUAGGGAAACUUACGCUAAUACCGCAUACGACCUACGUGUGAAAGCAGGGGAUCUUCGGACCUUGCGCGAUUGAAUGAGCCGAUGUCGGAUUAGCUAGUUGGCGGGGUAAAGGCCCACCAAGUCGACGAUCCGUAGCUGGUCUGAGAGGAUGAUCAGCCACACUGGAACUGAGACACGGUCCAGACUCCUACGGGAGGCAGCAGUGGGUAAUAUUGGACAAUGGGCGCAAGCCUGAUCCAGCCAUACCGCGUGGGUGAAGAAGGCCUUCGGGUUGUAAAGCCCUUUUGUUGGGAAAGAAAAGCAGCAGGUUAAUACCCCGCUGUUCUGACGGUACCCAAAGAAUAAGCACCGGCUAACUUCGUG